AUGAACGCUGGCGGCGUGCCUAAUACCUGCAAGUCGCGCGAACAGACGAGGAGCUUGCUCCUCUGACGUUAGCGGCGGACGGGUGAGUAACACGUGGAUAACCUACCUAUAAGACUGGGAUAACUUCGGGAAACCGGAGCUAAUACCGGAUAAUAUAUUGAACCGCAUGGUUCAAUAGUGAAAGACGGUUUUGCUGUCACUUAUAGAUGGAUCCGCGCCGCAUUAGCUAGUUGGUAAGGUAACGGCUUACCAAGGCAACGAUGCGUAGCCGACCUGAGAGGGUGAUCGGCCACACUGGAACUGAGACACGGUCCAGACUCCACGGGAGGCAGCAGUAGGGAAUCUUCCGCAAUGGGCGAAAGCCUGACGGAGCAACGCCGCGUGAGUGAUGAAGGUCUUCGGAUCGUAAAACUCUGUUAUUAGGGAAGAACAAAUGUGUAAGUAACUAUGCACGUCUUGACGGUACCUAAUCAGAAAGCCACGGCUAACUACGUG
rnacentral:rRNA from 1 species